rnacentral:sRNA from 1 species
AGCCCCCUCGGUCUUGCUAUGUCGAGCUCACCCGUGAAGCGUCAGAGGAUGGAGUCCGCGCUGGACCAGCUCAAGCAGUUCACCACCGUGGUGGCCGACACGGGCGACUUCCACGCCAUCGACGAGUACAAGCCCCAGGAUGCUACCACCAACCCGUCCCUGAUCUUGGCCGCAGCACAGAUGCCCGCUUACCAGGAGCUGGUGGAGGAGGCGAUCACCUAUGGCCGGAAGCUGGGCGGGUCACAAGAGGACCAGAUUAAAAAUGCUAUUGAUAAACUUUUUGUGUUGUUUGGAGCAGAAAUACUAAAGAAGAUUCCGGGCCGAGUAUCCACAGAAGUAGAUGCAAGGCUCUCCUUUGAUAAAGAUGCGAUGGUGGCCAGAGCCAGGCGGCUCAUCGAGCUCUACAAGGAAGCUGGGAUCAGCAAGGACCGAAUUCUUAUAAAGCUGUCAUCAACCUGGGAAGGAAUUCAGGCUGGAAAGUAAGUGGUCCCCCACAAGGAAGGAGCUCUCAGAGAUUUUUCCUCUGUUGGAGCAGGGUCUACAUGGCAUCAGGCAAGUUUGACUCUCUCAGCCCUGGGGAAUGCCAGACUGGGGAGCACAGCCCAUAGCUUGGACUUGACCAGCUCAUGUCAGCCUAGAUCUGCCCUCUGCUCCAGAGCCAGCUCCCUCACUUGCUGGUGAUCAGAAAUGAGGGAUUUCCCAGAAGUACCGUCCACCCACCCAGCAGAGAAGAAAAGCCACUAGUUAGCACCUGCAGAUUCAGAUUCUGUCCUUCCUCUGUCCCAAUCAACACAAGCCUAUGUUUACAUGAUUUUUAAAAAGUAAACUAUUGUUAUAUAAAAUAUAUGCUGGCUGGGCAAGAUGGCUCAUGCCUGUAAUCCCAGCAAUUUGGGAGGCUGAGAUGGGAGGAUCACUUGAGCCCAGGAGUUCCAGACCAGCCUGGGCAACAAAGUGAAACCUUGUCUCUACAAAAAUAUAAAGAAAUUUUAGGCUGGGCACGGUGGCUCCCAGCACUUUGGGAGGCCGAGGCGUGGGGAUCACGAGGUCGGGAGAUCGAGACCAUCCUGGCUAACACGGUGAAACCCCAUCUCUACUGAAAAAUAUAAAAAAUUAGCUGGGCGUGGUGGCACACACCUGUAGUCCCAUUUAGGAGGCUGAGGCAGGAGAAUUGCUUGAACCCAGGAGGCGAA